CCUACGGGAGGCAGCAGUGAGGAAUAUUGCACAAUGGGCGAAACCCUGAUGCAGCGACGCCGCGUGAGUGAAGACGUAUUUCGGUGUGUAAAGCUCUAUCAGCAUGGAAGUAAAUGACGGUACCUGAUUAAGAAGCCCCGGCUAACUACGUGCCAGCAGCCGCGGUAAUACGUAGGGGGCAAGCGUUAUCCGGAUUUACUGGGUGUAAAGGGAGCGUAGACGGCAGCACAAGUCUGGAGUGAAAUGCCGGGGCUUAACCCCGGAACUGCUUUUGAAACUGUGCAGCUAGAGUGCAGGAGAGGUAAGUGGAAUUCGUAGUGUAGCGGUGAAAUGCGUAGAUAUUAGGAGGAACACCAGUGGCGAAGGCGGCUCACUGGACUGUAACUGACGUUGAGGCUCGAAAGCGUGGGGAGCAAACAGGAUUAGAUACCCGAGUAGUC
rnacentral:rRNA from 1 species